CCUCUGCCUGGUGGGUGCGGACAGAGGGAGCUGGAGCAGGAGCAGGAUGGCUGCCUUUUUAAAAAUAGCAGCCACAGAGCCUGGGGGACAGAGAGCACUCUGGGAGAAGUCUGUUUUGACCUCACUGCCAUCCUGGAGGGAACCCUAGGAGACCUGGCCCCAAGCCACUCCCCUUCGCCAUCUUCACCCCAUGUGGCUGCCCUUCCACUUCAUGAUCUGUCUCCUCCUCCCCUCCAGCCUGGACGGCCUGAGGAGCUGUAAGGAAACCUCCCAGAGACGCUGCUGCUGAUACCAUGGCCUCUGUCUCCUCCCCAGAUAGUGACAGUUUCGUAGAAGACGUCAUUGAGUAUAUCAUGGACACACUGAGCAGUGAGGACCUGCAGCAACUGCUGACUGAAGAUGGCUCCUGGGAGAUAUUGGUGGAGACGACUGAUUUGACCAGGUCACCUGCACGGGCCCCCAGCAGUGCCACCCAGAGCCCCACUGGACUGGGAUUCCCGGGGGUGGACACAGCUCCUCCAGGCUGUUUCCUGUGGUUGGGGCUCAGGGUGCCCCUUCGGCAUCGUCCCUGCGGGAAAUUAUCUCCAUGUCAUUCCCUGGCAGUGAAUGGCCUCAGGGUGAAGGGACAUGGCAGCAAGGGGGCAGGAUCACUUCUGGCAACUGCUGGUUAUGUGACCUUUGCUAUCUCUACACCACUCUCGGCCUUACUGCCUUCAUUCAUUGAGUUUCAUGGUAAGGAAAGUAAGAUAACGUGUGGAACCUGCUUAGGUUAUCACUUACACACAACAGGGGCUCAAGCAAAGGCCAGGAGGGACGAGAGCAGGGCCGAGGGUCCUCCUUGGAGACAGGUGCC
rnacentral:lncRNA from 1 species